GAUGAACGCUGGCGGCGUGCCUAAUACAUGCAAGUCGAGCGAACGGACGAGAAGCUUGCUUUUCUGAUGUUAGCGGCGGACGGGUGAGUAACACGUGGAUAACCUACCUAUAAGACUGGGAUAACUUCGGGAAACCGGAGCUAAUACCGGAUAAUAUUUUGAACCGCAUGGUUCAAAAGUGAAAGACGGUCUUGCUGUCACUUAUAGAUGGAUCCGCGCUGCAUUAGCUAGUUGGUAAGGUAACGGCUUACCAAGGCAACGAUGCAUAGCCGACCUGAGAGGGUGAUCGGCCACACUGGAGCUGAGACACGGUCCAGAGUCCUACGGGAGGCAGCAGUAGGGAAUCUUACGCAAUGGGCGAAAGCCUGACGGAGCAACGCCGCGUGAGUGAUGAAGGUCUUCGGAUCGUAAAACUCUGUUAUUAGGGAAGAACAGAUGUGUAAGUAACUGUGCACAUCUUGACGGUACCUAAUCAGAAAGCCACGGCUAACUACGUG
rnacentral:rRNA from 1 species